UACGGAGGGUGCAAACGUUGCUCGGAAUCAUUGGGCGUAAAGCGCACGUAGGCGGCCUGAUAAGUCGGGUGUGAAAGCCCUGGGCUCAACCCAGGAAGUGCACUCGAAACUGUCAGCUUGAAUAUGGAAGAGGGUCGCGGAAUUCCCGGUGUAGAGGUGAAAUUCGUAGAUAUCGGGAGGAACACCAGUGGCGAAGGCGGCGACCUGGGCCAAUAUUGACGCUGAGGUGCGAAAGCGUGGGGAGCAAACAGG
rnacentral:rRNA from 1 species